rnacentral:rRNA from 1 species
GGGUUGUGAGGUUAAGCGACUAAGCGUACACGGUGGAUGCCCGGCAGUCAGAGGCGAUGAAGGACGUGCUAAUCUGCGAAAAGCGUCGGUAAGGUGAUAUGAACCGUUACAGCCGGCGAUGUCCGAAUGGGGAAACCCAGUGCAAUUCGUUGCACUAUCGUUAACUGAAUACAUAGGUUAACGAGGCGAACCGGGGGAACUGAAACAUCUAAGUACCCCGAGGAAAAGAAAUCAACCGAGAUUCCCCCAGUAGCGGCGAGCGAACGGGGAGCAGCCCAGAGUCUGAAUCAGCUUGUGUGUUAGUGGAACGGUCUGGAAAGUCCGACGGUACAGGGUGAUAGUCCCGUACACCAAAAUGCACAGGUUGUGAACUCGAAGAGUAGGGCGGGACACGUGGUAUCCUGUCUGAAUAUGGGGACCAUCCUCCAAGGCUAAAUACUCCUGACUGACCGAUAGUGAACCAGUACCGUGAGGGAAAGGCGAAAAGAACCCCGGCGAGGGAGUGAAAAGAACCUGAAACCGUGUACGUACAAGCAGUGGGAGCACCUUCGGGUGUGACUGCGUACCUUUUGUAUAAUGGGUCAGCGACUUAUAUUCUGUAGCAAGGUUAACCGUAUAGGGGAGCCGCAGGGAAACCGAGUCUUAACUGGGCGUUAAGUUGCAGGGUAUAGACCCGAAACCCGGUGAUCUAGCCAUGGGCAGGUUGAAGGUUGGGUAACACUAACUGGAGGACCGAACCGACUAAUGUUGAAAAAUUAGCGGAUGACUUGUGGCUGGGGGUGAAAGGCCAAUCAAACCGGGAGAUAGCUGGUUCUCCCCGAAAGCUAUUUAGGUAGCGCCUCGUGAACUCAUCUUCGGGGGUAGAGCACUGUUUCGGCUAGGGGGUCAUCCCGACUUACCAACCCGAUGCAAACUACGAAUACCGAAGAAUGUUAUCACGGGAGACACACGGCGGGUGCUAACGUCCGUCGUGAAGAGGGAAACAACCCAGACCGCCAGCUAAGGUCCCAAAGUCAUGGUUAAGUGGGAAACGAUGUGGGAAGGCACAGACAGCCAGGAUGUUGGCUUAGAAGCAGCCAUCAUUUAAAGAAAGCGUAAUAGCUCACUGGUCGAGUCGGCCUGCGCGGAAGAUGUAACGGGGCUAAACCAUGCACCGAAGCUGCGGCAGCGACACUAUGUGUUGUUGGGUAGGGGAGCGUUCUGUAAGCCUGCGAAGGUGUGCUGUGAGGCAUGCUGGAGGUAUCAGAAGUGCGAAUGCUGACAUAAGUAACGAUAAAGCGGGUGAAAAGCCCGCUCGCCGGAAGACCAAGGGUUCCUGUCCAACGUUAAUCGGGGCAGGGUGAGUCGACCCCUAAGGCGAGGCCGAAAGGCGUAGUCGAUGGGAAACAGGUUAAUAUUCCUGUACUUGGUGUUACUGCGAAGGGGGGACGGAGAAGGCUAUGUUAGCCGGGCGACGGUUGUCCCGGUUUAAGCAUGUAGGCUGGUUAUCCAGGCAAAUCCGGAUAAUCAAGGCUGAGGUGUGAUGACGAGGCACUACGGUGCUGAAGUAACAAAUGCCCUGCUUCCAGGAAAAGCCUCUAAGCAUCAGGUAACAUCAAAUCGUACCCCAAACCGACACAGGUGGUCAGGUAGAGAAUACCAAGGCGCUUGAGAGAACUCGGGUGAAGGAACUAGGCAAAAUGGUGCCGUAACUUCGGGAGAAGGCACGCUGGUGUGUAGGUGAAGUCCCUGCGGAUGGAGCUGAGACCAGUCGAAGAUACCAGCUGGCUGCAACUGUUUAUUAAAAACACAGCACUGUGCAAACACGAAAGUGGACGUAUACGGUGUGACGCCUGCCCGGUGCCGGAAGGUUAAUUGAUGGGGUUAUCCGUAAGGAGAAGCUCUUGAUCGAAGCCCCGGUAAACGGCGGCCGUAACUAUAACGGUCCUAAGGUAGCGAAAUUCCUUGUCGGGUAAGUUCCGACCUGCACGAAUGGCGUAAUGAUGGCCAGGCUGUCUCCACCCGAGACUCAGUGAAAUUGAACUCGCUGUGAAGAUGCAGUGUACCCGCGGCAAGACGGAAAGACCCCGUGAACCUUUACUAUAGCUUGACACUGAACAUUGAGCCUUGAUGUGUAGGAUAGGUGGGAGGCUUUGAAGCGUGGACGCCAGUCUGCGUGGAGCCAACCUUGAAAUACCACCCUUUAAUGUUUGAUGUUCUAACGUUGGCCCCUGACCGGGGUUGCGGACAGUGUCUGGUGGGUAGUUUGACUGGGGCGGUCUCCUCCCAAAGCGUAACGGAGGAGCACGAAGGUUAGCUAAUCCUGGUCGGACAUCAGGAGGUUAGUGCAAUGGCAUAAGCUAGCUUGACUGCGAGCGUGACGGCGCGAGCAGGUGCGAAAGCAGGUCAUAGUGAUCCGGUGGUUCUGAAUGGAAGGGCCAUCGCUCAACGGAUAAAAGGUACUCCGGGGAUAACAGGCUGAUACCGCCCAAGAGUUCAUAUCGACGGCGGUGUUUGGCACCUCGAUGUCGGCUCAUCACAUCCUGGGGCUGAAGUAGGUCCCAAGGGUAUGGCUGUUCGCCAUUUAAAGUGGUACGCGAGCUGGGUUUAGAACGUCGUGAGACAGUUCGGUCCCUAUCUGCCGUGGGCGCUGGAGAAUUGAGGGGGGCUGCUCCUAGUACGAGAGGACCGGAGUGGACGCAUCACUGGUGUUCGGGUUGUCAUGCCAAUGGCACUGCCCGGUAGCUAAAUGCGGAAGAGAUAAGUGCUGAAAGCAUCUAAGCACGAAACUUGCCCCGAGAUGAGUUCUCCCUGAGACUAUAAGUCUCCUGAAGGAACGUUAAAGACGAUGACGUUGAUAGGCCGGGUGUGUAAGCGCAGCGAUGCGUUGAGCUAACCGGUACUAAUGAACCGUGAGGCUUAACCUUACAACGCCGAAG